AGAUGGGGUAGAGGCGCGAAUUUAGAUUAGUAUUUUUCAACUUUAGCUUAAACCGCUGUUGUUUAAAAAAAGCUGAUUCGCCGAAGUUUUCAGUCAGGGUUUAAUGGCUGUCUGCUGGGUCUGUAUAAAAAAUAUGCAGAACUGUCAUUAGUAGUUUUAUCCAGGCUGCUGAUGUUGAGCUAUCUCAAAA
rnacentral:ncRNA from 2 species